rnacentral:lncRNA from 1 species
GGUUGUUGGGCUCGGUGGGUCUGAAUCUGUAAAUGGACAUUUAUUUUAUUGAAUUUCGGUUUAAUUUUAAUAUUUGUAAAACUAGGCUGUUAAUAGUGGAUAUUUUAAUUUAAUGUAUUUGUUUUUUUCUUUUCUGGUAUUUAUUGGGCCGGGCAAAAUGGGUUAUUACAUGUAUGUUUAGUACAUUUAAGUUUAUUUUCUCCAUGUUGUAUUCUAAUUUGUUUACUC